GUUUGAGUGUCGCAACUGGUAAAUUUUCUCAUACAUGCAGCUGGAAUGAGCAGAUAAUUGGUACGCUGACAAUACAUUUUUUUGUGCAUGGAAUAAUGAAGGUAAAUGACAAAUGGGAUUUUGCUUGUAUCAUGCUUUUAAAGGCACUCAAAGCACUUGAACAAUCCUCAUCAGCAUCAGGACCAAGUUGGGGCUUUGGUAUUUUGCUCAAGGACGCUUGAGCAUGGUCACUCGGACUCAGGAUUGUAACCAAGACCUUCAGGCUGGAAAAUGAUCAUAAUACCACCUCAGCCCCAUAAGGAUUCCGAUUGUGCUCUUGUCAAAGUUUCACUUCAGGUUUUUGUUAUGGGACCAACUGAUGUGUGUCAGGAAACUGGAGAGUACUUUUUGGAAGCGGUACCAGACUGACUGUGGAGACUCCCUGUUGAGGUUUGCAAGUUCAAAACAAAUCUCAGGAGGUUCUUGUAAAGGAAGCAACUAAUGUGUGACAGGAUACAACAGGUUACUUUUUGGAAGUGGAACCAGAUUGACGGUGGAAACCUGUAAGUGGGAUUUUUUGGAAGAUAAUUACCGGUACUUAGUUUUGUUUUAAUUAAAAUCUGAAACAGAAACUUAGCUAGUUCAUGUUAUUUCUUUUUGUUUUGUUUGAGCAUCAUAUUGUCUGAGUAUGUAGUCGACAUUUGGAUGUGGAAACAGAUUGAGUGUUGAACCCGGUGAGUGGAAACAUGGCAAAGUCUGUUUGGCGGCUCAAUUAAAUGAAGUUUGCUCGUUCCAUGUUUACAUGCUUUGUGUGAAACUUU